UAGAUAGUACGGUGUUCUUACCA
rnacentral:siRNA from 1 species